rnacentral:tRNA from 1 species
GCCCUUGUGGCUCAGUGGUAGAAUUCUCACCUUCCAUGCAGGAGACCCGGGUUUGAUUCCUGGCCAGGGCA